UCUUUGCUUCUUGGCUUCCACAAAACU
rnacentral:piRNA from 1 species